GUGGAGGCAACAGUUAGAUGAACUGACUGGUCCUGACCACACAGUGUCAAAAUAGAGAAUGGAGAGCAGGUCUGCUGUUUACCAAAGAAGCCUGAAACAUGGCCCACGUGUCCAAUCCUUGCUGUUGUCUGGAGGAGGAGCCGGGAGGAGACCGUUGAUGAACUGCUCUCAGAUUGUUGGUCUAUGAAGGAGGUUAAUACAUGUCAGUUUGACAUUGUAUCAUUGAAUCAGAAUUGAACAUCAGAAAGAGUAAAAUUCCCAGGCCUUUGUUACCCUAGCCUGGGUACAAGCUCAAGAUGAUGCAGAAGGAGGAGCAAAGCAUGGGAUCCAAGAAAGUUAAGUUCCAGCUCAGGUCGAAGAGAAUCAUGUCUGUGAUCUAUGUCUUUGGUUUCUUCAUCUACAGCUGUCAUCUUGUGGGCUGGAGCAUGGUGGCCAGGCAGUGUGCAAGGGACUCUGGUGUCCAUGCAGCCCUCAUAGACCUGCGGAGGUCAAUGCAUAUCGACCAUCCUGUGGCAGUUUAUCCAGUCUUUUGUUCUCUAGCUGC
rnacentral:lncRNA from 1 species